UGUUUUGAGUCAACUCCUCAA
rnacentral:piRNA from 1 species